rnacentral:rRNA from 1 species
UACGUAGGGGGCAAGCGUUGUCCGGAUUUAUUGGGCGUAAAGAGCGUGUAGGCGGCUAGGUAGGUCCGUUGUGAAAACUCGAGGCUCAACCUCGAGACGCCGGUGGAAACCAUCUAGCUAGAGUCCGGAAGAGGAGAGUGGAAUUCCUGGUGUAGCGGUGAAAUGCGCAGAUAUCAGGAAGAACACCCGUGGCGAAGGCGGCUCUCUGGGACGUGACUGGCGCUGAGACGCGAAAGCGUGGUGAGCGAACAGG